rnacentral:rRNA from 1 species
GUGGGGAAUAUUGGACAAUGGGCGAAAGCCUGAUCCAGCCAUGCCGCGUGUGUGAAGAAGGUCUUCGGAUUGUAAAGCACUUUAAGUUGGGAGGAAGGGCAGUAAGUUAAUACCUUGCUGUUUUGACGUUACCGACAGAAUAAGCACCGGCUAACUUCGUGCCAGCAGCCGCGGUAAUACGAAGGGUGCAAGCGUUAAUCGGAAUUACUGGGCGUAAAGCGCGCGUAGGUGGUUCAGCAAGUUGGAGGUGAAAUCCCCGGGCUCAACCUGGGAACUGCAGCCAAAACUACUGAGGUAGAGUACGGUAGAGGGUAGUGGAAUUUCCUGUGUAGCGGUGAAAUGCGUAGAUAUAGGAAGGAACACCAGUGGCGAAGGCGACUACCUGGACUGAUACUGACACUGAGGUGCGAAAGCGUGGGUAGCAAACAGGAUUAGAUACCCGAGUAGUCC